AUUGAACGCUGGCGGCAUGCUUUACACAUGCAAGUCGGCCGAGGGGCGCACGGGUGAGUAACAUCUCGGAACGUACCGAGUAAUGGGGGAUAACUAAUCGAACGAUUAGCUAAUACAGCAUAUUAUUCGAGCGGCCGAUAUCUGAUUAGCUGGUUGGUGGGGUAAAGGCAUACCAAGGCGACGAUCACUAGCGGGUCUGAGAGGAUGAUCCGCAACAAUGGGACUGAGAAACGGCCCAGACUCCUACGGGAGGCAGCAGUGGGGAAUUUUGGACAAUGGGCGCAAGCCUGAUCCAGCCAUGCCGCGUGUCUGAAGAAGGCCUUCGGGUUGUAAAGGACUUUUGUCGGGGAUGCAUUACCUGAAGAAUAAGCACCGGCUAACUCCGUGCCAGCAGCCGCGGUAAUUC
rnacentral:rRNA from 1 species